GACGAACGCUGGCGGCGUGCUUAACACAUGCAAGUCGAGCGAUGAAGCUCCUUCGGGAGUGGAUUAGCGGCGGACGGGUGAGUAACACGUGGGCAACCUGCCUCAUAGAGGGGAAUAGCCUUUCGAAAGGAAGAUUAAUACCGCAUAAGAUUGUAGUAUCGCAUGAUACAGCAAUUAAAGGAGUAAUCCGCUAUGAGAUGGACCCGCGUCGCAUUAGCUAGUUGGUGAGGUAACGGCUUACCAAGGCGACGAUGCGUAGCCGACCUGAGAGGGUGAUCGGCCACAUUGGGACUGAGACACGGCCCAGACUCCUACGGGAGGCAGCAGUGGGGAAUAUUGCACAAUGGGGGAAACCCUGAUGCAGCAACGCCGCGUGAGUGAUGACGGUCUUCGGAUUGUAAAACUCUGUCUUCAGGGACGAUAAUGACGGUACCUGAGGAGGAAGCCACGGCUAACUACGUGCCAGCCGCCGCCGUAA
rnacentral:rRNA from 1 species